UACGUAGGGGGCAAGCGUUGUCCGGAAUCAUUGGGCGUAAAGAGCGUGUAGGCGGCCAGAUAAGUCCGCUGUGAAAUCUCGAGGCUCAACUUCGAGCUGUCGGUGGAAACUGUCUGGCUAGAGUCCGGAAGAGGAGAAUGGAAUUCCUGGUGUAGCGGUGAAAUGCGCAGAUAUCAGGAGGAACACCGGUGGCGAAGGCGGGUCUCUGGGCAGUAACUGACGCUGGAGGAGCGAAAGCGUGGGGAGCGAACAGG
rnacentral:rRNA from 1 species